UUUUUCUCUAACAACAGAUGACUUGGAGAUAGUCUAGAGUCCUGAAUCUUUGCAUCAUGAGGAGGAUAUGGUUAAGUGGACAGAAAGUUAAGGCCAUGGGCUCAAGCUUUAUAGGCUGUUCUGUUUGAAAACCACAGCUAGGAAGACGACUGCAUAAUCAAGCAAGUUGGGAGACCUGGUGCUAAAUGAUUGUCUAUUCUUGCAGAGUUCUUACCAGGAGGAAAGCCAAUACUCAGUUGAGUGAUUGUGGCAAAUCCUGUCAAGCAACGAGAAACUCAAUGGCGAAUCAAGUCAAGCAAUGAGGAGCUGAAUGGCAGUUAAUGGUGAAUAGCACGGUGGAGCUCAAUGAAAUUCUGUAUUUUUUCUCUUUUCCAAAUGAGUUUUUGAUUUUUAAUAUCAUAACUGUAAUAUUCUUGUUAAAAAGGUUCACCACUUGCAAUACUUGGUCUAUUUUCAAUAUGAAAAUAUUAAUGUAAUAGUCCCGAGGAUAGGUCCA